CAAAAAAUAAAAAUAUCUAGAGAAAGUGGAAGGAGAACCGUGAGAGAGAGAGAGGGAGAGAGAGAAGAGGCAAAGCUUCUCCCUAAGGAAUUCAACAUCCAUGAAAGCUUGAAGAUGGUUGAAGAAGAUAGAAGAGAGAGGAAAGAUCAACCAAAAGCUUGGGAAAAUUGAAGAGACUAAGGGAUGAACAAAGGUUUGGGUAAGGUCGAGACGAGGACAUUGUACCAUUAUCACCGGGAACCGAUCACUGUAACCAACCAAGUGGUCAGUCCUAGUCAUGACACCUGUUUUCUUUUGUCAACCUUCGUGGGUUCAGGCACUGCACGAAGCCAUUUAUUUUUGUAAAGUCUAUUGAAAUGUUGGCUUAAUUUUGAUUACCCAUUUAAAGUUAAAGAGGUAGAACUUCAAUGAUUUUUAUAUAAGCCCAAUGAUGGGGCUGGGUCUGUA